rnacentral:rRNA from 1 species
UACGUAGGGUGCGAGCGUUAAUCGGAAUUACUGGGCGUAAAGUGUGCGCAGGCGGCCGAGCAAGUCGAGUGUGAAAGCCCCGAGCUUAACUUGGGAACUGCGCUCGAAACUACUUGGCUAGAGUGUGGCAGAGGGAGGUGGAAUUCCACGUGUAGCGGUGAAAUGCGUAGAGAUGUGGAGGAACACCGAUGGCGAAGGCAGCCUCCUGGGCCAACACUGACGCUCAUGCACGAAAGCGUGGGGAACAAACAGG